GAUUGGGGAUGGGCUCGCGGCCUAUCAGCUUGUUGGUGGGGUAAUGGCCUACCAAGGCGACGACGGGUAGCCGGCCUGAGAGGGCGACCGGCCACACUGGGACUGAGACACGGCCCAGACUCCUACGGGAGGCAGCAGUGGGGAAUAUUGCACAAUGGGGGAAACCCUGAUGCAGCGACGCAGCGUGCGGGAUGACGGCCUUCGGGUUGUAAACCGCUUUCAGCAGGGAAGAAGCGAAAGUGACGGUACCUGCAGAAGAAGUACCGGCUAACUACGUGCCAGCAGCCGCGGUAAUACGUAGGGUACGAGCGUUGUCCGGAAUUAUUGGGCGUAAAGAGCUCGUAGGUGGUUGGUCACGUCUGCUGUGGAAACGCAACGCUUAACGUUGCGCGUGCAGUGGGUACGGGCUGACUAGAGUGCAGUAGGGGAGUCUGGAAUUCCUGGUGUAGCGGUGAAAUGCGCAGAUAUCAGGAGGAACACCGGUGGCGAAGGCGGGACUCUGGGCUGUAACUGACACUGAGGAGCGAAAGCAUGGGGAGCGAACAGGAUUAGAUACCCUGGUAGUCCAUGCCGUAAACGUUGGGCACUAGGUGUGGGGGGCAUUCCACGUUCUCCGCGCCGUAGC
rnacentral:rRNA from 1 species